AUGGAUUCCCUGAAGAACCUGGGUUGUUUGCCCGUGGAGUUUGCCUCGAUUUUGACGGAGUCACGGUGGUUAACGUAUUUCUCUGCUAAACGGGGGGCGGACUCGGCCAGCGCUUGUGUUGAGCACACGGUGCUCAUCGCAUGGAAAUUCUCGGGGCUUCCCUCUCCGCCCGUUUCCCUGUGUCAGGCGAGGCCGGCCCCCGCACCCAGAGCCACAUGGAGGAGGAUACGGAGCCGGUGGCCGAGAGGAGCCCAGCUGCCCGUCGCCCCGAGUACCGGCUCAGAACCACCACCUCGGCCCACCUCCUCGGCUGUAAACACCACCUUAGAAACACCUCGACUGCUGACGUGGUCGGAAAGGGUGCUUUUAAAACUGUGAAGACGGCGUGAAUUCCCUUCAGAGACGUUUUUAUCCUGGCAGGAAAACGCAGGGGUGAGGGUUUUGUUUUUCUGAAACCUCGUGUCUUGAAGCCUGUUCCGCACAAAUGCAGCACGUCCCAGCCCUGCCAGGUGCAAGCUGUUGGGGGAGCGUGGGGUGGGGUGUGGAGACCCCCCUGAAAUCCAAGACCGGUGGGAACUCAUUGUUUCCCGCCUUUGCCCUCGUCUUGAGAAGAGGCGGGCAAGCUCGUCGAGGGCCAGCGUGUGUUCGUGCAAACAGUGCGUCACCUGCAGGAGGGUGAGGGGUGCUCAGGAAUGCGCCGCAGAUGCAAACACCUCGGGGGUUUCACGCCUUGGGCGCUGCCACCCGGGUCAGGCGGCUGGACCCUUGGCCGCCGAGUCAGGCCGCGUGACGGGUGAGGCGCAGGCUGUAAAUGGCGCCCGUCUUCUUGUUUCGGGUCCUUGGAAAUGAUGGCUUUUCCUGAGAAGAACAGUUAUCAGAGAAAAAUGCUUGCUUGGAGUUCUGGAAAGGAAAGAAAGACAAGACAGUGAGUGCGACAGGGUGAAGAGGAGUUUGCACAGGAAAGGCUGGCCGUAUUUUGCCAAAACGAUGGCAUUUCUGUCAUCUGUGUCCAGCACACUUCACUUAUCUGGAAGACGCGGAGCCAUCAAAAAAAGUCGGGAAUUCCAAGCCAUGACCUGCCGAGGGCACAGAUGGUAACAUUUGGGAUGGUUUUAGUGUAAAAAAUGUGUUUAUAGAAUCUGCCUUAAAAUCUCCAGGCUGACAGUGAGCUUAAUAAAAAUAUCCAGCCGGAUUUUUAGCA
rnacentral:lncRNA from 1 species